rnacentral:rRNA from 1 species
UACGUAGGGUGCGAGCGUUAAUCGGAAUUACUGGGCGUAAAGCGUGCGCAGGCGGUUUGUUAAGCCAGACGUGAAAGCCCCGGGCUUAACCUGGGAAUUGCGUUGGAGACUGCAAGGCUUGAAUCUGGCAGAGGGGGGUAGAAUUCCACGUGUAGCAGUGAAAUGCGUAGAGAUGUGGAGGAACACCGAUGGCGAAGGCAGCCCCCUGGGUCAAGAUUGACGCUCAUGCACGAAAGCGUGGGGAGCAAACAGG